GUCUCGUAUGGCCCCGCCCCACCAUUCCCCGGAAGCGGCCGUGGCGGGGGCAGCGGAGGAAACCGAGGCGCUGCGGGGCGCGGGCACCGGGGCGCUGGCCCGGCGGCUGCCGCGGACCCCCCGAGCGCCCUCCUUGCUCCCGGCGCGGCCAUGGCGCGGGGCCUGCGGAGCUGGCUGGGCGGCUGUCUCCUGGUGUCAGCUUUAGGAAUGGUGCCACCUCCUGAAAAUAUCAGAAUGAAGUCUGUGAAUUUCAAGAACAUUCUACAGUGGGAGGUGCCUGCUUUUCCCAAAGGGAAUCUGACAUUCACAGCUCAGUACCAUAGUUACAAAAAAUUCCAAGACUUGUGCAUAAGUACUGCCUUGACGGAAUGCGAUUUCUCAAGUCUUUCCAAGUAUGGUGAUCACACCUUGAGGGUCAGGGCUGAAUAUGCAGAUGAACACUCAGACUGGGUGAACAUCACCUUCUGUCCUGUGGAUGACACCAUGAUUGGACCACCUGGAAUGCAAGUAGAAGCACUUGCUAAUUCUUUACAUAUGCGUUUCUUAGCCCCCAAAAUUGAGAAUGAACCUGAAACAUGGACCAUGAGGAAUAUUUAUAACUCAUGGGCUUAUAAUGUGCAAUAUUGGAAAAAUGGCUCUGAUGAAAAGUGGCUGACUACUCGUCAGUAUGACUUCGAGGUCCUCAGAGAUCUUGAGCCCUGGACAACUUACUGUGUUCAAGUUCAAGGGUUUCUUCCGGAUCGGAACAAAACUGGGGAAUGGAGUGAGCCUGUCUGCGAGCCAACGACCAAUGACGAGACCGCCCCGUCCUGGACCGUGGCCGUCGUCCUGGCCGCCUCCGUGUGUGUGGCCUUCCUGCUGCUCGGCUGCAGCACCCUGCUUUGGUGCUUGUACAAGAAGACCAAGCACACCUUCUCCCCUGGGGCCCGUCUGCCUCAGCACCUGAAGGAGAGACUGGUCAGACAGGAAAGGACACUGGGACCACGUGCCGUAGGGCAGAUCAAAGCCAGAGCUGUUGGAAGGAGCCCCUGCUCCAAGACUAGAAGACGUUCCUCACCUGUGGAGGCAGGCCCUGGAAUGGCUGAGAAAUGCGGGCAGGGGAGCUGGAGAAGGGGCCAGAAGGGAGAGGACACAGGAAACCGUGACGACUGGGUUCAUUGCAUCAUGAGAUGCUCCACCCUGGCACGUGAUGUAAACGUUCGCCGACCACGGCUCAGAGAACAGUUCUGGGCUGAGGGAGACUCAGCAGGGACGGGCCUUGGAGUUGGAGCAGUAGGGAGGCUUCUCCAACCCCGAUAUAUUGAGUUUCUGGACGUGUCCCGCCGGGACACCAGCCUGACACUUGCUCUGCUGAGAUCCAGCACAUCUCCCGCUGGUCUUCUGUGUCCCCUUUCCCAGGAGAAUCCAGAGUGGUCCUCCUCCAUCCUUAUGAACCUGCUGGAUCCGAGAGUUUGGGGAAGUUACUUCUCACCGCAGUGUCUUCCUUUGCGCAGUUGAGAUCGCGCUGUCAUUCCUCUUGGCCCUCCCCUCCCUUCCAUCAGGUGGGAGGUGGACAUCCUGUGGCAUUGAACCAAGUCCCAUCAGAGGGUUGAGUGUGUGUGGCUAUCACAUUAAGAAGGGAGCAGAGUGUCAGAAGUGAGGCCACAAGUAAACAGCAGACGGGAGAGGGAACCUGCAGACUUUUGAGACCGUCUCCACCGCAUCCUGAAGAUCUAAGAGCAUCGGUGGACCUACCAGGAGGAAAAAUGGCAACAUGAAGUCGGCAGAUAUUCUAGGAAACACCUGGACAUCUUUCAUGGUUCAAGGAGUGCGAAAGACCCAGAUGGUUAGACUAGGGUUCCUGCUUGUAACUAGCCCCGACCCCUAAGAGAGACAAAUAAGCGAGGCCAUGUGCAUUAAAUGUGCUAGAUAGAGGAGUCUGGGUGGCUCAGUCGGUUGAGCGUCCGACUUUAGCUCAGGUCAUGAUCUCACGGUUUGUGGGUUCGAGCCCCACAU